rnacentral:rRNA from 1 species
CAUGGAGGGUGAGAAUCCCGUACGGUUGAUCAUUGCGUUUUACGAUACGCUUUCUAAGAGUCAAGUUGUUUGGGAUUGCAGCUUAAAAUGGGAGGUAAAUUUCUCCUAAGGCUAAAUAACGGCGAGAGACCGAUAGCGAACAAGUACCGUGAGGGAAAGAUGAAAAGUACUUUGAAAAGAGAGUUAAAUAGCACGUGAAAUUGUUGAAAGGGAAACGAUUGAAGCCAGUCGUACCUGCGGACAAUCAGCCUUCCGGGUGUGAUUACGUGGGACUUGAGGAGCUAAACACCCUCUUGAUUUGCAUAUUUGUGCUCGUGGGUGUAUUUGUCCGUGCGGUAGGUUAACAUCAAUUUCGGUUAUCAUAAAAUGGUUGGAGGAAUGUAGCUUUGACCUCGGUUGAAGUGUUAUAGCCUUUGGCAGAUGUGGUGAUCGGGAUUGAGGAUUGCAACGGAUACCCUUCGGGGCUACCCGUCUGAUCUCUGAUGGUUACUCUGGUGCCGAAAGCUUGCUUACGGUUAUCAAAGUUGACUGUCAAUAGGUUAGAACGGGUUAAAUUCGUUAAGGAUGUUGACGUAAUGG